rnacentral:rRNA from 1 species
GAUACGACCGUACCGCAAACCGACACUGGUGCGCGAGAUGAGUAUUCUAAGGCGCUUGAGAGAACUCAGGAGAAGGAACUCGGCAAAUUGACACCGUAACUUCGGAAGAAGGUGUGCCCUAUUAGUGUGUAGUGAACAACGAAGCAUGAAUGGGUUGCAAAAAAUCGGUGGCUGCGACUGUUUAUUAAAAACACAGCACUCUGCAAACACGAAAGUGGACGUAUAGGGUGUGACGCCUGCCCGGUGCUGGAAGAUUAAAUGAUGGGGUGCAAGCUCUUGAUUGAAGUCCCAGUAAACGGCGGCCGUAACAAUAACGGUCCUAAGGUAGCGAAAUUCCUUGUCGGGUAAGUUCCGACCUGCACGAAUGGCGUAACGAUGGCCACACUGUCUCCUCCUGAGACUCAGCGAAGUUGAAAUGUUUGUGAUGAUGCAAUCUCCCCGCGGAAAGACGGAAAGACCCCAUGAACCUUUACUGUAGCUUUGUAUUGGACUUUGAACAGAUCUGUGUAGGAUAGGUGGGAGGCUUUGAAGCAGGGUCGCUAGAUCUUGUGGAGCCAACGUUGAAAUACCACCCUGGUGCGUUUGAGGUUCUAACCUAGGUCCAUUAUCUGGAUCGGGGACAGUGCAUGGUAGGCAGUUUGACUGGGGCGGUCUCCUCCCAAAGCGUAACGGAGGAGUUCGAAGGUACGCUAGUUACGGUCGGACAUCGUGACGAUAGUGCAAUGGCAUAAGCGUGCUUAACUGCGAGACUGACAAGUCGAGCAGAUGCGAAAGCAGGACAUAGUGAUCCGGUGGUUCUGUAUGGAAGGGCCAUCGCUCAACGGAUAAAAGGUACUCUGGGGAUAACAGGCUGAUACCGCCCAAGAGUUCAUAUCGACGGCGGUGUUUGGCACCUCGAUGUCGGCUCAUCUCAUCCUGGGGCUGUAGCCGGUCCCAAGGGUAUGGCUGUUCGCCAUUUAAAGAGGUACGUGAGCUGGGUUUAAAACGUCGUGAGACAGUUUGGUCCCUAUCUUCCGUGGGCGCUGCAGAUUUGAGGAAGCCUGCUCCUAGUACGAGAGGACCGGAGUGGACACACCUCUGGUGUAUCGGUUGUCACGCCAGUGGCAUUGCCGAGUAGCUAAGUGUGGAAGAGAUAACCGCUGAAAGCAUCUAAGCGGGAAACUCGUUUCAAGAUGAGAUCUGCCGGGGCCUUGAGCCCCCUAAAGAGUCGUUCAAGACCAGGACGUUGAUAGGUCAGGUGUGGAAGC